GACGAACGCUGGCGGCGUGCCUAAUACAUGCAAGUAGAACGCUGAAGAGAGGAGCUUGCUCUUCUUGGAUGAGUUGCGAACGGGUGAGUAACGCGUAGGUAACCUGCCUUGUAGCGGGGGAUAACUAUUGGAAACGAUAGCUAAUACCGCAUAACAAUGGAUGACACAUGUCAUUUAUUUGAAAGGGGCAAUUGUUCCACUACAAGAUGGACCUGCGUUGUAUUAGCUAGUAGGUGAGGUAAUGGCUCACCUAGGCGACGAUACAUAGCCGACCUGAGAGGGUGAUCGGCCACACUGGGACUGAGACACGGCCCAGACUCCUACGGGAGGCAGCGGUAGGGAAUCUUCGGCAAUGGGGGCAACCCUGACCGAGCAACGCCGCGUGAGUGAAGAAGGUUUUCGGAUCGUAAAGCUCUGUUGUAAGUCAAGAACGGGUGUGAGAGUGGAAAGUUCACACUGUGACGGUAGCUUACCAGAAAGGGACGGCUAACUACGUG
rnacentral:rRNA from 1 species